CACACGACUCUCGGCAACGGAUAUCUCGGCUCUCGCAUCGAUGAAGAACGUAGCGAAAUGCGAUACCUGGUGUGAAUUGCAGAAUCCCGCGAACCAUCGAGUCUUUGAACGCAAGUUGCGCCCGAGGCCACUUGGCCGAGGGCACGCCUGCCUGGGCGUCACG
rnacentral:rRNA from 7 species